AAUAAACAACGAGGCUUAUGAUUUCCUGAAAAGUUUGGCUCGUGCCAAAAUCAUUAUCAUACUCAGUUAUCAAGGAUACCUUGGCCGAGGGCUAUCCCAACCGAGUCCGCCAAGGCUGUUAAAAAGUCAUGUAUGCAUAAAUCAUGUUUUUAUUUUGAAAACAUAGCCGUUCCUUGGUGUUGGCUGAGUUCACCCUCACGUGGUGGUUUGGCGUGAAGUGAACUCUAAAGUAUUAACCUCAGGAG
rnacentral:lncRNA from 1 species